UACGUAGGGUGCGAGCGUUAUCCGGAAUCAUUGGGCGUAAAGAGCUCGUAGGCGGUUCAGCAAGUCGGCUGUGAAAGUCUGAGGCUCAACCUCAGAAUUGCAGUCGAUACUGCUGUGACUCGAGUCCGGUAGAGGAGAAUGGAAUUCCCGGUGUAGCGGUGAAAUGCGCAGAUAUCGGGAGGAACACCAGUAGCGAAGGCGGUUCUCUGGGCCGGCACUGACGCUGAGGCACGAAAGCGUGGGUAGCGAACAGG
rnacentral:rRNA from 1 species